rnacentral:rRNA from 1 species
UACGAAGGGGGCUAGCGUUGCUCGGAAUUACUGGGCGUAAAGCGUGCGCAGGCGGCUUUGCAAGACAGAUGUGAAAUCCCCGGGCUUAACCUGGGAAUGGCAUUUGGGACUGCAAGGCUGGAGUGUGGCAGAGGAGACUGGAAUUCCUGGUGUAGCAGUGAAAUGCGUAGAUAUCAGGAGGAAUACCGAUGGCGAAGGCAGGUCUCUGGGCUGACACUGACGCUCAUGCACGAAAGCGUGGGGAGCAAACAGG